rnacentral:rRNA from 1 species
ACCGGCGGCUCGAGUGGUGGCCACUAUUACUGGGCUUAAAGCGUUCGUAGCUGGCUUGUUAAGUCUCUGGGGAAAUCUUCCGGCUCAACCGGAAGGCGUCUCAGGGAUACUGGCAGGCUAGGGACCGGAAGAGGUGAGAGGUACUCCAGGGGUGGGAGUGAAAUCCUGUAAUCCUUGGGGGACAACCUGUGGCGAGGCCGCCUCCCCAGGCCGGCUCCGCCAGUGGGGAACUAAAGCUGGGGAGCAAACCG